GAUGAAGAACGCAGCGAAAUGCGAUAAGUAGUGUGAAUUGCAGAAUUCAGUGAAUCAUCGAAUCUUUGAACGCACAUUGCGCCCUUUGGUAUUCCAAAGGGCAUGCCUGUUCGAGCGUCAUUUGUACCCUCAAGCUUUGCUUGGUGUUGGGCGUCUUGUCUCUAGCUUUGCUGGAGACUCGCCUUAAAGUAAUUGGCAGCCGGCCUACUGGUUUCGGAGCGCAGCACACGUCGCACUCUCUAUCAGCAAAGGUCUAGCAUCCAUUAAGCCUUUUUUUCAACUUUUGACCUCGGAUCAGGUAGGGAUACCCGCUGAACUUAAGCAUAUCAUAAGCGGAGGA
rnacentral:misc_RNA from 1 species